rnacentral:lncRNA from 1 species
UAACAACUAAGCAUCCGAUAUAUAAUAACAUCAUGAAAGGGGCACGGAGCGGCGAUCCAAUAUACACCGGCGAUGAAGGUAUAUUCGUAUACAAUAUGUAUAUGGUACCAUCAUCUCGGGCUUCCUCGGACUUACUGUUUGACCUUUGUGCCUGUUCAUAUAAUGAUGUGAUUCGACACGCUGAUUGCCUUUUUAUUCGCUGAUUUUUCUUUUCUCUCUUUUUUAUGAUUAAAUUUUCAGGAAAAUACCACUGUAUGAUUAUAUAGGUUUAGCUCCAGUUCACAUUCUUUACUUUUCCAAGUGCAUGCUAUGGUUCAUAUAAUAACUCCAUUUCUUUAUAUUUCACUUUGUCAUGUGCAUGCUAUGGUUCAGAGCAAAAUUCAGUUUUCAAUUAGAGUUCAGUGAUGUUCUUACCUUAGAUUUUAUUUUGCGUAAUUGUAGGAAGUGGGGAUGGACAUUCGUGAAUUUGCCGUCCCUGAUUUGCUUUGUGGAGGUGUAAUCUUUCAUAAUGUGUUGUUAACAUAUCUCUGGAAUAAGUUCUUAUGUUCAGUACAUAUAGUUUGGCUGAUUAUCUUUUAGGGGCCUUCUUUGGAAAGGCUUCGGCAAACUGUUUGAAUUACUGCCUUAUUAGGUUAAUGGAAUUUGAACAUGUGACUUUAUCUUAGUGUCAACCAUACAAAGGAAUUAGUGACCUGUUCUUAAUGAUAUAUAGAUGAGUAGGCGGUAGUGCAUGGUAAUAAUAAAAAAUGCAUCAUGUGUGUGUGCAGGACACAUGCCCAUGAUUCAUAAUGAUUUGCGGCAGUCUUAGAAGAAAAUUUCCCAUUGCUUUCAUCCCCUUUUGAGUGUCAAUUGCAAAGUUCAUCCGUUGGUGAAAGGAAACUGUACUCUUCUUUGUUUUAGUGCUCUGUCUCCCUACUUCUAUGACAGAAUGGUGUGGCUUUGUGUACAGUGAAUGUUCUCUACUCUUGCAUCCCAUGCAUGUAUUACUAUUGACAGGGUUUGUCUACACUUAUCUUUAAGGCUACAACCUGGAAUCUCAUAGGUGUGUGAAGAUGAUCUAGGACAUUGCUUUGUUAGGGGUUCACUUAUGUACAAGAAUGGCAUGUUCUUUCACGUGUAAUAUAUUGUGGUUUUUUCUACUCGACACCACCUGGACCAUGAUCAC